rnacentral:tRNA from 1 species
GAAGAUUUAGUUAAUCCAUAACAUUAGUAUGUCAAUCUAAAAUUAUUAUACAAUAAUAAUCUUCU